GACGGAGGAUGCAAGCGUUAUCCGGAAUCACUGGGCGUAAAGCGUCUGUAGGUGGUUUAAAAAGUCCACUGUUAAAGGUUGAAGCUUAACUUCAAAAAUGCUGUGGAAACUUUUAAACUAGAGUAUGGUAGGGGUAGAGGGAAUUUCCAGUGGAGCGGUGGAAUGCGUAGAUAUUGGAAAGACCACCAAUGGCGAAGGCACUCUACUGGGCCAUUACUGACACUGAGAGACGAAAGCUAGGGGAGCGAAUGGG
rnacentral:rRNA from 1 species